rnacentral:lncRNA from 1 species
CCCAAAACACACAUGGCCCCAGAGAAUAAGAGGACCACAGCUGAGUUGCUUUUCAGACAUCAGACAGCUGUCCUUGUGGAUGAAAGAAACUCCUUUCCAACUUUGAAGAAAAUGUCCAGGGAUCGGGGAGCAGGCAUGUGAUAUUCUUCAAGGUGCCACCAGCCUUUCUCAAUAAAACAUCUCCAGUGGGAAAACAUGGAACCCAGAAAGGGCUGGUGUGGGAAAAAUAUGACAAGGAUGGCCGGCAAAGUAAACCCAUGGUGAAUUCAACCCUGAGAAAGCAGAUUUCCUGGAGUGUGCAAGCUUUGCUUAGGCUUAGUUUUAAUAAAUAAUAAAGAGACACAAUUAAACAAACUAAAGGUGAUCUUGCCCCGGAUGGCUCCUUAGGAUCUUUAGAACAUGGCAAUUCAAUUUAAACGCGGAGCCCCUACUCUGCUGGACUGACAGGAAAUUGAACUGUCCAGGUCAUGACUCCCGUGUAUGAAGUGCAGCUGUCCAGGUCACCCCUGGAACAUCUUUCACAACCUUGCUGAGGGCCCUGCUAGGAACCAGGCAUCUUAAGAAGCACUAGGUCAUCUGGAGGCCCUUCCCAUCAUUAGUUCACAUGAGCACGUCCCAGUCUGCAUGGUCUCCUUGGGGUUACCCCUCUGCUAUUAAAUAUUUUCUAGAAAAAAAAAAAAAAGACUCUUUGGCAAAGACCCAGCCUCCCUGAGGCACAUACAGCGAGGGGGUACCACCAAGAAGCAGGUGACAUCCUUGAGGCUUCUGGAUUCACAGACCUUUUUAGUUUAGGAAAAUACAGCCCUCCUCAAACCCUAUUCUUCUCUGCAGGUUUAUUUGAAAUGAAAGCCUGGAAGUCCAGCCACAAGUCUCUCCUGAGGCUGAGACACAGAGCCAGCCAGAAUGAAAAAUGGAAAGGGGAAAAUACAGAGAGAGAAAUUAAAUCAGUAUCUCAAAGGUUUUCCUCUUUUUUCUAAAAUGAAAUUCCUUUCAUUUUAGUGUUUAUUUUAGAGUUGAGGCAACUGAGACAUGGGCAUAAUGACCAAAGGCACACAACUAGUUACAAACAGUGACACAACCAGUUACUGACACCUACUAGUUACUGACAGAUACUAACAGCCAACAAUAGCUGGCUCUUUCUAUUAUACCAUGGUGCCUCUUCAUUUUUUCUGAUUUCCAACCUCUUUUCUAUUCUAAACUGCCCUUGUUGAUAGGCACUUAAGUCUCUGCACCUACAGUCUUAGACAUAUUUGGAAACUUCUCUUAAGCAUGUUGAUCCAUCCAGGGCUGAAUUAUCUGUGAUCAAAAGAAUUACUCCACCCUGGGGCAUAUCCAACAAGAUGAAAGAUUCAGAAAUAAAUUACAUUGUGCUCCAUUCUUCCUGGCUCUCAACAUCUUCCCGCAUAAGAAAUCAGUUUCCUGAGAGUCUCCAGGCUCCAAAAGGCCAUCCUAAGGGAUGAAGGCAAAGUCUCAUGGGUCCAGCCACCCACCACAGACAUCUCUAGGAUGACUUUGGGGACCUGAUUGUUCCUGUGGCAAUGAUGCAUGUGGCCCUUUCUCUCUUUUUUACCACUCCCAUGUCCAGGUAUGCUCGUGUAUGGAGAGACAACAUUCUACUUAGGUUAAAUGAUCUCCUUUUCAAAAAUGUGGAGUGUAUUUCCACAAAUCUCAGACACUGAGUAGGUAGGAUAUUAGAGUUGCAAGAAUGUUUGGACAGUAGCAACUUUAAAUAUUGCUUUUCUGUUUGUGGUUCUUUGAGACAUAUCCAAACAACUAAUGGAAACAAUUUUUUUUCUAAGUUUUAAGUAAGCUCUGUUGCUUUGGUGUCAGCAGCCUCUACUGCUGCCUCUUGCCAGCUUUCCACUUGGUAGAAGAUGCUUCCUAAAGAUGCACUUUGUGAAGUCUCUGCAGAACCAGCAUAGACCAAGCCAAAUCAUGAUGAAAAUUCUUGUUGUCUGCUCCUUCUCCCAGUGCAGUCCUGUGUUUCCACUUGUUGGAAAUAUAUCUGCCUGUCAAUGUCUGAGAACGCCAGCACCUUUUCGAUGUUACGAACUCACAGUGCUCCUCUUCCAGAAUGCCAGCAUUCAUAAUUUUUAAGCCUCAAACUUUCAAG